rnacentral:siRNA from 1 species
AUUAUGAUGGUAGUCCAACAAUA